AGCCUGAUCCAGCCAUGCCGCGUGUGUUGAAGAAGGUCUUCGGAUUGUAAAGCACUUUAAGUUGGGAGGAAGGGUUGUAGUUUAAUACGCUGCAAUCUUGACGUUACCAACAGAAUAAGCACCGGCUAACUCUGUGCCAGCAGCCGCGGUAAUACAGAGGGUGCAAGCGUUAAUCGGAAUUACUGGGCGUAAAGCGCGCGUAGGCGGCUUGAUAAGAUGGGUGUGAAAUCCCCGGGCUUAACCUGGGAACUGCAUCCAUAACUGUCUGGCUAGAGUACAGUAGAGGGUGGUGGAAUUUCCUGUGUAGCGGUGAAAUGCGUAGAUAUAGGAAGGAACACCAGUGGCGAAGGCGACCACCUGGACUGAUACUGACGCUGAGGUGCAGAAAGCGUGGGGAGCAAACAGGAUUAGAUACCCUGGUAGUCCACGCCGUAAACGAUGUCUACUAGCCGUUGGAAUCCUUGAGAUUUUAGUGGCGCAGCUAACGCACUAAGUAGACCGCCUGGG
rnacentral:rRNA from 1 species